UCUUCAUCUCUUGGAAGUGAGUAGUCGCCUCUGCCCUUCCGAGGGCAGUCCUCGUACGAGACUGGCUCUGGCCCAGCGCUGUAACGGCGGCGCCAUCAGGCUAAUCCCAGACUCCCUAGUGAGACGCGCAGCGCGGCGCUUUGCGGCAAGUGAGGGUCCUGCGCCUUGGCGUUGCUUCCUCAAGGCGUUCCUGGUCCCCCUCCAGGGCCUGGGUCUGGCUGGACAGGCCGUGACGUCUGGGCAGGUAUCCCUGUGAACCCCAGACCCGGCAUUUGCUCCCUCACCCUCUACAUGCAAGUGGGCACAAUGAGCCGUGGCCCGGCUCUGGUCCCAGGAGCAUGAGCUGGCCAGCAACUUUCUCCCGCUAACAAUAUUUCUUUUGAAAAGUGGACAAGAUUAGGCCGCCGGAAUCAUGCUGAUCCGCAGUGCUUCUCAUUCACAUCAGAAAGGGAGCAAGUUCAGUCUUGGCUUGAGCUGCAUGUGUGGACCUGUGUCACUGAAGCCGCCUGUUCUAUGGCACUUAAGGUGGGGGCCAGCAGGUGUCCUUCACCCUGUUCCACUCCCACCACUGGCACCCAGGGCAGUCACCCACCCCCAGCAGGUCGUCUCUGGGGUGGCAGUGCCAUCUCCUCUGAGGACACUGGAGACCAUUGCCCCACCACACCAGUGGGACCCUUUCCACCUGUGUCUCCUGCCUCCAAGUUGUGGUGACCUCGUGGUGCUCUCACAGGUUGGUCUUAAACUGUGCUGGAUGAGGGAGGGAUCAGCAUUUCUUGUGCGGAAGGAGCUGCUCUCUCCCGCCAUCUGACACCCCUUCUCCCUGUUGAUGGUGUGGAAGAGGUCUACAUGGAAAGAGAUCACAUUCGAGGAAUGAAGUGAUUGCAGCCUAAGGAGUUCAAGAGGAUGUAGUUGGAAGAUACGCUGUUCUGUUUAUGCCAUAAAAUUCAGAACAGUACAUUUAACAUAUCUAGAAGAUGAAUUAUUGUUCCCAUUUUCCUGCCUACUCUGGAUAAGACUUGCAUAUGUGGUCAUCACCAAUGAAGCACAAUAACAACCUUUGAUGGAGUCUUUGGAAGCCGGUAUCCACAGGCCACACUUUGAGCAAUACAGUGGCAUCAGGAGUAAUGAUGUAACCAGCAUUAAAUAAUGGAAGGAGGAACGUGUAGAGGCAAGAAGACCUAUGUUUCAAUACAAACAGGUUCUGAAAGCCAUGGCCUCAAGAGUAAUAAUGCUAUUGCUAUCAUUUCCUCCUUAUGGGCGAUAUGAAAUUAGCCAGGAACGUUUCAUAUGAUAAUAAAGAACAUGAAUAAAUGGCUCCUGAACCUGGACAGGAAGAAAUCGUGCCUGCAUAGUAUGAAAAAUAUUCACAUGCACUGAUGGAUAAUAAACAAAUAUGUAUUACAGAAAGCUACCUGGAUAGAAGUCAUGGCUACAGAAUCAUGGUGGAGACAAAUAUAUUGGCAAGCAUGAAGGUGUGGUUUGGAAACCAGGAAGUUAUGACUACUCAUAGAAAUUAAUGAAGCUAACAGUGAGGUGAUGUGGACGAAGGACAUGUGACUGAAGAUAAGGAAGUGCAGGCAUUUCAUCUGAAUUCAACUCUAAUAUUAUUUAAACAAGACUAUAAAGCAUUACUCCAUAACAACGAACUUAAUUCUCUCCUCUCAGUCAGCAGAUCAUCAGAUGUGUAAGGAACUGCCCCUUUGACUUGAGAAUUCCACUUCUAGAAAUUUUUCUCAAGGAAUUUGGUGUUUCUAGGACACAUUUAUCCCUUCGUAUAUUUGGGAGCCUCCAAGGACUGGUGAGUGGACUUAGAACUUCAAUUUCCCCAUGCUAGGCCUUGUUACAUGUUGUGCUGUGGAAAUUCCUGAGGGCACUGUAACAAGUGAUAAAAUCACAUCUGGCACUGGUUUUGGUGAGGCGUUUUAAUCAAAUGCGGGCCAGAUGAAAUCUGUUCUGCAAGAGACCCGGUGCCAAUUUAGCUGUUACCUGAUCAGUGGAACCAGCUGAAUUGUUAAAGGAUGUAGAGGCUGCCGAUUAGAAGGCGGGUAAUUGGGUAACUGUCUGUUCGCAGGACAAGCCAGAUCUGUAUUGAUCAAGAAAGGAAAAAGUCUGAAUUGAUUAACAAACCUUCUCAGCAUCAGUAAACUAAUGGUUGGUUCUAAUGUAAUUUUGCUUCCCUUCCUCAGCAAGUGGCCGAAAAUAGCUCAGUGAGGGGCUGUGGAGAAAGAGAAGGUGUUUAUAAAUCGGGAGCUUUGGCUGUUGUUUGGGGAAACCUGGUAAUGAGAAAGUGGCAGGAUUUCUGUCCCAGGCAAAGAGUGUCUCUACCCCUUGAACACUGUACAGUAGAAUUCAACACAGCUUUACACUGAAGCUUCAGUGUUGGAUCUGUGGCUCCGUGUUCUGCUCUGAAGUGAUUUCUGCUGGGAGCAAAUGUGUCGAGAAAGAGAAAGCUUUCUGAUAUCAAGAAACCUGUCACUCAGCUGCCGUGCCACAGGGGCUCUCAGGACAGUUCCUCCACAGGGACCUGACACCCGAGGCACGUCCUCUGGGAAGCUGACGGGAUUGAUACAUUGGGAAUUCUCUCCCUCUUCUUGAAGCAAAAUACACCCAGGCCCGUGCUCCCUCUUCCAUGAGGACAGGGCACCUCACCGCAGAAUGGGUAGACAGAGGUAACAUCUGUAAAUUCCCUUACUUUUUAUGUGCCCGUUAAAGAACAGGGGAAAACCUGCCCAUAGUUGUCCCGGAGAAGGUUGGAGAGCUGAGACUGCGUAUGGACGUGGGUCCACAGCUGAGACCUGAGGGCACUGGGAAAAUGUGGGUCCCUCCGCCUCCUGCCUUAGAACAGAGCCCCUGCAGACCUGCAGUGAGCCAGCUGAAGAUGUGGGCAACCCCCUGGGUCUUUCCCUCCCACAGCCCCCCACUGUUGAAGAAGCAGCACCAGUGUUGGGGGCCCUGAUUACACAGGUGAAGAGUCUCACUGAGGGCAGGAAGCCGGGAACAGAGCAGAUACUCAAUCUGGACAUGACAUGGCAUCUGACAGGGAAUGCAGAAUGUGGAAAGCACGUUGACAGUAUCUCUCUCUCAGUGUCCUGUGACUUCUAGCUCAUGGCAGUAAAACCAGAAUCAGCUUGGUUUGGUCCAGAGAACAGAGGCAGCUCCAAGGUUGAUAAAACCUAAAACAAUAACAUUUUAUUCUAAUAGAAGAAUUGGGAUGGAGAUGGCAAAAAAUAAAUAAACAGGUAAAUCAGGGGGGGCUUUACUAGGUUGUUUCUUUGUGGGUUUAAUGCCAACCAGAACAAAACGUAUUGCAAGUGUAGCACUUGGUUUUUACAAAGGACCUCCUUAUUUGAAUGCAGCUGGGAGAGAGGUUCGACAAUUCCUGGACCCAAAAGUUCUGAGUCUUCAUGAGUACUGAGUCCACAGUCACCAUCCCCUUUCUCCACACCACUGUUCGUCCAGUCUUCACUGACCCCAGACACGCAGUGAUUUGCCUGCGCUCGGGGAGACAUCCUCAGGCAUUUGCCACAUUUGUGGCUUCUCCAGAGUGUGUGGUUGCACAGCUGUGCUCGUGGACACGUUUCUCUAUGUGCACAGGUGACAGCAGCCAUGUCCCCGCCUCUGCUCACUGCGACCACCACCAAAUCCACCUCUAAAGCUGCAGAGAGGAAUGUAGAUGCAGAAGAGCUAAGCCGUCACAUCACAAACAGCGCUGUCUUCCCAACACACUCCAACCUCCUUCAACAAUAAGCAGAAGCUCUUGGGGCACCUCCAUUAACCUUGAGGAGCUUGGAAAUGAGCUCUGAAGCCUUGUCUAAGUGUUUUUAGUGUCUCACGAAGGAACCUCUGCCCUCUACGGGUUUAGCCUUCACAGCACGCAACAGGCAUAUUUAAUGAGCGUCCCAGCAGUGAGUGUAAAUUACAGCAAAUGCCCUUUUCUUGCUUGGGUUGCUGCUGUUUCGCUUUUGGAAUAUUCAGGAUUCUAGCAGUGUGAGACAUAGAAUUUCGUAGGAAGAAUUUGUAUAAAAGGCAGGAAGAUGCAAGUUGUAAGUACAGAUAAGGGUUUUCAUUCCAACUUCCAAUACUGGCAUCCAUUCUUCUGCUAGGUUAAAAUUGGGGGCUACUCUGUUUACAUAAACAUUCUCCCACCUCGAAACAAGAGACUCAUGUAUUUCCACUAGCUGUUGUCAGUAGGCAAUCAACUGCAUUCAUGCCUCCGAGGUGGGCUAGUGGAGAUUGAUUAGCUCUGUCGCUCAGGAGAUAGGCAUGAAAGGAAAUGGAUGGCUAAUAGCAGCAGAGGGAAGCCGCAAGCAGAAACCAGCUCUGUGGGCCAUCAUUGUUCAGUGCAGUUAGGCAGGAGCACCCUUGAAGAAAGGCUCCUACUUCCUAGCGGAGUGAGGAAGCCCACUGGGCCCAAGGCUGGGGUAAGGAGGGGCUGAUGUCAAGUCAGGAGCCAGAACCCAAAGUGCUGACCACUGAGAGCCCUCGGGAAGCUGCGGCUGGCUGUUGGAGACAUGGGACUAUGUCAGAGAGAGGACAGAGAGGAAGGGAGGCAGCAAAGAGGGGCCUAGGUAAGGGUGCUGCAGCGCCGACUGGGCUGUCUGUCCAGAGAAGGCGACAUUCAGGACCUGGGAGCCUCUCCCCUGUGGGAGCCCCGUGUCGGUGUGGACCUUGUUGAACAGCUCCCCCCAUCAAGUGAUCCCCUUGGGUCCACACUGUGCUCCCACCUCCGGCCAAACAGAAGGCAGAAGCCAAGCCACUUCUCUCCCUGGCUGUGGAGCAGUGCGCCCUGCAGUGCUGGAGUGCUGGUGGCUAACCAGCUGCUGGAAGACGAGGAGUGAUGUUAACACCCAUAGAUCUGUGUAUCACCAGCAACCUGGGAAACGAUUCGCAGCUUACUGGAUGACUACCUUUUCCAGGGCACACUUGUUCCCAGAUGACAUAAAGGGAUGGUGGUGGUGGCCCUCAGGACAGUGACACUUUGUCUGCCCCCCGCCAUUCCCCUGGUAACAGAUGGCAGCAGCCUUUGGAAGCCAUGUCUUUGGAGACACCCCAACGGGAGUAUCAUUUGGGUGUGUGGGGGGGUACUUUAUCCUGCCCACAAGGAGGAGAGGGUGCAUAGAGAAGGAUGUUCAAAUCAUAUUGGAAGCUUUCUUAGAAUUGUAAUAAAGUGCAUAAAAGAGACUUCUUAACUCUAUAGACCUACAUAACUGAGGUGGAAAGAGCGUUAGAUUUGGAGUUGGGACAUACUUGCGGACAUCAGAGCUGUGAGUUAGUCACUUAACAUCUUUAAGUUUUUGAGGCUCAAUUUCUCCGUCUAGAAAAUGGGCAUUAAUAAUGCUUAAUCUUCUUCUGUCACAGGAUGACUCAGAUAUUGAUGAACAUGGUGAUGAUGAUGGUGUUGUUGAUGACAAUGAUGAUAGUAAGUAAUAGGUGUCACCUACAUAGCACCUACCAUGUUCCAGGCAGUGUUGUAAGACAUCUAUUAGUUCUUUUAGCCCUCAUAUCCCUCCUAUGAGAUAGGUACCCAUAUGAUCCUCGUUUUACAGAAAUAACGGGUUGAGUGACUUACCUGCCCACAGCUGUACAGCUAGCCAGUGGUAGUAGCAAAGCAGAACUGAACCCUGCGCAGCCUGGCCUCAGGGCCUCCUCUCAUCACCUCAUGCUGUAACUUUUCCAAGAUAAUCUAUGUGUAACAACUAUCUUGGAAAUCUCUUGCCUCCAGAAGGCAGGCAUUUAGCAUGUGUUUCAUAAAGGAAGGCUUAACGAAACAUUUAAUGGAUACAUAAAGUGCUAAAAUCAUAUAAUUAGAUGCUGCCUUUAUUAGGACUAGAAAUUGGGCAGGUCUGAUCCCUACAAUCAAGGGACAAAAUCUGAAUUCUGCUCAGGCACCAAAACCAUCAGGUAGGAAAUGAGUGCCUGGGCUGCAGGCAGGAUGUCAGGAUGUGUGUGUGUGUGUGUGUGUGUGUGUGUGUGUGUGUGUGUGUGUGUGUGUGUGUGUGUGUGUGUGUGUGUGUGUGU